rnacentral:rRNA from 1 species
GACGAACGCUGGCGGCGUGCUUAACACAUGCAAGUCGAACGGAAAGGCCCUGCUUUUGUUGGUUGCUCGAUUGGCGCACGCGUGAGUAACACAUGAGUAACAUGCCCUUAACUUUGGGAUAACUUCAGGAAAAUGGGGCUCAUACCGGGUAGAAGCUCCUGCUGCAUGGUGGUGGUUGGAAAGAUUCGGCGGUUGUGGAUGUACUAGCUGCUUACCAGCUUGUUGGUGGGGUUGUGGCGGACGAAGGCUUUGACGGGUAGCCGACAUUGGAGCGUGGCCGGGGACAUGGGGACUAAGAGACGCCGCAGAAGGGUAUGGGAGGCAGUAGGGGAGAAUAUGACACAAUGGGCGGAAGCCUGAGGCAGAAACGUCGCGAGCGGGAUGAUGGCUUACGGGUGGUAAACCACUUUCGAAGGUGACGAAGAGUGAGUGACGGUAAUGGGUAAAGAAGCACCGGCUAACUACGUG